GCCAGGUGCGUUGGCACGUGACUGUAGUCCCAGCUACUCGAGAGGCUGAGGCUGGAGAAUCACUUGAGCUCAGGAGUUCUGGGCUGUAGUGCACUAUACCCAUCAGGUGUCCGCACUAAGUUCAGCAUCAAUAUGGUGACUUCCCGGGAGCGGGGGACCACCAGGUUGCCUAAGGAGGGGUGAACCAGCCCAGGUCAGAAACGGAGCAGGUCAAAACUUCCGUGCUGAUCGGUAGUGGGAUUGCGCCUGUGAAUAGCCACUGUACCCCAGCCUGGGCAACAAAGCGAGACUUGGUCUCUU
ensembl:misc_RNA Metazoa_SRP Metazoan signal recognition particle RNA